GGGCAACGUGGUGAAACGGUCAUCACCUCUCUGGUCUUCGAGGUCACAAGAGGCUCUUGGUUCGAAUCCAAGCCUGCCCA